rnacentral:rRNA from 1 species
AAGAGUUUGAUCAUGGCUCAGAUUGAACGCUGGCGGCAGGCCUAACACAUGCAAGUCGAACGGUAACAGGAAGCAGCUUGCUGCUUUGCUGACGAGUGGCGGACGGGUGAGUAAUGUCUGGGAAACUGCCUGAUGGAGGGGGAUAACUACUGGAAACGGUGGCUAAUACCGCAUAACGUCGCAAGACCAAAGAGGGGGACCUUCGGGCCUCUUGCCAUCAGAUGUGCCCAGAUGGGAUUAGCUUGUUGGUGAGGUAACGGCUCACCAAGGCGACGAUCCCUAGCUGGUCUGAGAGGAUGACCAGCCACACUGGAACUGAGACACGGUCCAGACUCCUACGGGAGGCAGCAGUGGGGAAUAUUGCACAAUGGGCGCAAGCCUGAUGCAGCCAUGC